rnacentral:ribozyme from 14 species
AUGCAAAAAUAUAUGUAUAUGUGUGUUUAAUGUUUUUACGUUUUUAUCAUCUUUUAUUGUUA